rnacentral:rRNA from 1 species
AUUUUCUUCGGAACUGAAGUGAAUGUGACUGAGUGGCGGACGGGUGAGUAACGCGUGGGUAACCUGCCCCAUACAGGGGGAUAACAGCCGGAAACGGCUGCUAAUACCGCAUAAGCGCACAGUACCGCAUGGUACAGUGUGAAAAACUCCGGUGGUGUGAGAUGGAUCCGCGUCUGAUUAGCCAGUUGGCGGGGUAACGGCCCACCAAAGCGACGAUCAGUAGCCGACCUGAGAGGGUGAACGGCCACAUUGGGACUGAGAUACGGCCCAGACUCC